rnacentral:lncRNA from 1 species
UGGUCGUACAGGAAAGGGCAGGGGCGACUCCCCACUCUUCAAAACCCUAGAACUUCACUAAUCUUGCAAAUUGAAGGUCCAAUUCAGUCCAAAAUCGAAAUUUAAGCAUGGAUUAUUGAUCCUCAUCACAAGAGGAUUAAAAGUUUGAUCUCGUCAAGCUAAGUGGGAGCUGGAAAGGAAUGGAUCAAACGGAUCAUGGAUGCGAAGAAUGUUUGCGCGGACGCGAGGGUAAAACGGCUUAUGGAAUUUACGUGGCUAUGAAUCAGCAAAUUAUUAAGGCAAGGUAUUAAAACGGGUCAAUACUUUGACCCGCGCCAGGUUCAUUUUGGAUGCCGAGAGACGAUCAAGCUCAUCGAAGAACCGAACACGAUAUAGUUACAUGCUUCCGCACUUUGCCACGUUGUAUAUUUUAAACAACGAAUUCGAUCACGUUUUGUAGAAUAACUUAUGAAUUGUAAAAGUUUUAAUUUACUCGAAGUUUUUUUAAGGAUACUUAACCUUAAAUACAUGUUUGUUUUCGUAAAUUAUACGAAAACCUUUAAAAUAAUAACUAGGGUGUUACAAGACAUAGAUCAAGGUCUUCUUAGGUCUGGAGACUCUCUUCUCCUCCACAAAAUCCUAGCACCUCUCCACCCUUCUCCUCCACCCCAUCUUCUCAACCGCCGCCACCCACCCUCCCACCAGCGGCACCCUCCCACCGUCCGCCACCACCUCGUCACCCUCCCAUCGUCCGCCACCCACCUCUGUAACCGUCGCCACCGUCCGCCAACCUCCCUCCUCAUUAGUCGUUGCCACCUCGUCACCCUCCCUCCUCACCAGUCGUCCGCCACCUCGUCACCGUCGUCAGCAGCCGCCAUCAUCAGCAGCCGCCUUCAUCAGUAUCUAUCCAGGUAAGUUAAAUUUAUGUUUUUUUUGUUAAUUUCAGAAAUUGGUGCUAGUUUUCAGAUUGCGGAGUUGUUUUUUAGAUUUUUUAUGUCAAAAUUUUGGUGUUAAUUUUAAGAAUUGUGGUGUUACUUUGCUGACUUUUAGUUGUUAAAAAUAGUUUGUAUUCUCAGUUUUAUAUUCUUCUUUUAAUCAUGAUUGUUUUUGUAUUUUAUAACAUAUAAAUGGUGCUGGACUGGAUCAAUGAGGUUGGACGUGUAGCGGGCUUGGAUGUCUGGACGACUAUUGGGCUUGCUGGAACUUGGGCUUAAAAGACUAAAGGAGAGGAUGCUACUAAUUGGGCUUCAUCAGUUGUGUGCAUGGGCUUCUAACUUCAUCAGUAUAGAUUGUAACUAUAUAACACUGACUUCAUCAGUUAUUAUAUUGAUUUUACCAGAUAUCUUUCUCUCACAAAAAAAGUUGUUCUGUCUAAAGAACUUUCUCUCUCCUAGGGUUAUACAUUUAUCAGGUCUUUUGUUGAUGUUCUCUUGUUGAGAUCGUGUGUCAGUCAUUUAGAUCUUGUAGGUAGUGUAUGCAGGUCAUCUAGUUGAUGAUCUGCUUGUGAAGAGUGGUUGUUGUUCAUUGUCUGUACAGUUUUUUAUUGACGAGUUUAUCAGAUCGGAGUCUUUGAUCCGUGUUUUU